UACGUGCCAGCAGCCGCGGUAAUACGUAGGGUGCGAGCGUUGUCCGGGAAUUAUUGGGCGUAAAGAGCUUGUAGGCGGUCUGUCGCGUCUGCUGUGAAAACCCGAGGCUCAACCUCGGGCUGCAGUGGGUACGGGCAGACUAGAGUGCGGUAGGGGAGAACGGAACUCCUGGUGUAGCGGUGGAAUGCGCAGAUAUCAGGAAGAACACCGAUGGCGAAGGCAGUUCUCUGGGCCGUAACUGACGCUGAGAAGCGAAAGCGUGGGGAGCGAACAGGAUUAGAUACCCUGGUAGUCCACGCCGUAAACGUUGGGCGCUAGAUGUGGGGACCAUUCCACGGUUUCCGUGUCGUAGCUAACGCAUUAAGCGCCCCGCCUGGGGAGUACGGCCGCAAGGCUAAAACUCAAAGGAAUUGACGGGGGCCCGCACAAGCGGCGGAGCAUGCGGAUUAAUUCGAUGCAACGCGAAGAACCUUACCAAGGCUUGACAUAUACCGGAAACGGCCAGAGAUGGUCGCCCCCUUGUGGUCGGUAUACAGGUGGUGCAUGGUUGUCGUCAGCUCGUGUCGUGAGAUGUUGGGUUAAGUCCCGCAACGAGCGCAACCCUCGUUCUAUGUUGCCAGCGGUUCGGCCGGGAACUCAUAGGAGACUGCCGGGGUCAACUCGGAGGAAGGUGGGGAUGACGUCAAAUCAUCAUGCCCCUUAUGUCUUGGGCUUCACGCAUGCUACAAUGGCCGGUACAAAGGGCUGCGAUGCCGUAAGGCGGAGCGAAUCCCAAAAAGCCGGUCUCAGUUCGGAUUGAGGUCUGCAACUCGACCUCAUGAAGUCGGAGUCGCUAGUAAUCGCAGAUCAGCAACGCUGCGGUGAAUACGUUCCCGGGCCUUGUACACACCGCCCGUCAAGUCAUGAAAGUCGGUAACACC
rnacentral:rRNA from 1 species